rnacentral:rRNA from 1 species
GACAGAGGGGGCAAGCGUUGCUCGGAAUCACUGGGCGUAAAGGGCGCGUAGGCGGGAUGGCAAGUCAGUCGUGAAAUCUCUCGGCUCAACCGAGAAACGUCGGCUGAUACUGCCGUUCUUGAGGGAUGCAGAGGAGACUGGAAUUCCCGGUGUAGCGGUGAAAUGUGUAGAGAUCGGGAGGAACACCGGUGGCGAAGGCGGGUCACUGGACCCGAUCUGACACUGAUGUGCGAAAGCUAGGGUAGCAAACGGG